rnacentral:rRNA from 1 species
CCUACGGGUGGCAGCAGUGGGGAAUAUUGCACAAUGGGCGCAAGCCUGAUGCAGCCACGCCGCGUGAAUGAAGACGGCUUUCGGGUUGUAAAGUACUUUCAGUGGGGAGGAAGGAUCUGUGGUUCAUAACCGCAGCCCUCGACGUUCUCCGCAGCAGCAGCACCGGCUAACCCCGUGUCAGCAGCCGUGGCAAUACGGACGGGGUAAGCGUUAAGCGGACUUACUGGGCGUAAAGGGCACGCAGGCGGGCAGUCAAGUCAGAUGUGACACCCCCGGGCUCAACCUGGAGACUGCAGCUGAUACUGGCAGGCUUGAGUGAAGUAGAGGGGGGUAGAAUUCCGGGUGUAGCGGUGAAAUGCGUAGAGAUCUGGAGGAAUACCGGUGGCGAAGGCGGCCAACUGGAC